GGGAAAGAAGCACCCAGUGGCACUGAGUAUAGUAGUAUCUAGUGUCUGGACCCAGCUCACUCUGCUUCUCAAAGCAAGACCCGAGGAGCAGAGGUAUCUGUUCUAUUCACUUUGUUUUUGCACUUGGAUUCUGACAGGAAUUUAAGCCACUGGGAUCAGGAGUGCAUUAGGGCACAGUUAUGGCAAGACACUUGUCUGGGAGUCACUCAUUUUCAAAAGAAAACUGGACACAUUUCCAUCAGGCAGCAAGUGAAAAAUAUUCAGAGAGAUCUAUUUUGAUAUUUAAUCUCCAAAUCUUAUAUUUGGGAUUGAGGUCAAUAUCCUAUUUGAUAGUCUCCCAGCUAAGAAUCUACUUUCAUUUGCUCACUGCCUGUUGUGUAUGCAAAACGAGUACAACAUUAAUCUAGUGCAAAUGGCAUCUACGAAAUUUUCCAGGAACAUUAGCAGAUUGUUGGCACUUUACGAAGGACUUCGCAGGACCAGAAUGAGCUUGACACAGAGAAAGAGUCUCACUGUGUUGCCAGUGUUGGUCUGAAACUCCUAUCUUCAAGUGAUCCUCCUGCCUCGGCCUCCCAAAGCUCUGGAAUUACAGGCAUGAGCCACCAUACCCAGCCCUUGACAGAGUUUAACGAGUGACACUGUCUUGAAUCUGAUGUUGGUGUUCUGAAGUACAAUCCUUCAUAACCCUGCCAAAGAUAUGACAAUGUAGCCAGACCCAGGCUAGGUGCUGCCAUCAAAAAACAUGGUCCUAAAAUCAAAGUGUACUUUCCAAAUAACUCAUGUUAGAAACCUGGACAUCUCUAACGCUAUGAAGAGGAUACGUAGUCCAUAGCUGGAUUUCUGAGCAAUUCUUCUUCCCUUUUUUUCAUUCCCUUUGUUUAUACCCCAGAAUUCUCUCCUCUAAACUUUGAAAAAUCCUCCUGAUUUGAAACGAA
rnacentral:lncRNA from 10 species